rnacentral:lncRNA from 1 species
AUGUCUUGUCAUAUUAUCUUAUCAAAGCUUCUCUGUACUGCUCUUUUUGUUGGAUUGAAUACAAAAAGAGCUCAUUCAAACUUUCCUUUCAUAUUAUACAGUAUAGUUUCUCUCUCUCUCUCUCUCUCUCUCUCUCUCUCUCUCUCAGACUCCAGCACUGGCGUUCCCACCCAGGCCACGAUUAACAAGAAGGCAAAGUCUCGCUUACUGGACAAAGACAGCCGGAACAAGAACCGCCUGAGUCACACGUCAUCUCCUCUGUUCCUCAGUAAAAGCAAACGGCCGCCUCAGUCUCCAGAGCUGAGCGGAGCAACCAAACGCUUGCCUGGUGGACAACAGCCACCGUCCCGCAGACAGCGCAGUAUCAACACACAGGGUGGAAAUCCAGCAGCAUGUCUAAGCAAACUUCACAUUGUGGAGAUGGAUCAGGAGAUCAGAACGCUUGAUUGUUCCUCGUCUGAGAGCUGCAGCUUCACUCUGUUUCUAAAUGGAGACAGAAACUCAUCUAUGUCUUCCGUUACUCUGCACAUGAUCUCAUCCUCCGAGGUCUGGGUGUGGCAGUGUGGAGCCACCAGGGGGCGACUUUGUCCAAAUCAACCAGAAGCUUCUUUCUCACUAGAGCGGAGCGCUUAUACAGCGGGGACCAGCCACCUGUGGUCACUUCCUGUUACGCCUUUUCAAGAGGUCACCUACUAUUUUCGAGUGUCACAUUCAAGACAAACGGGAUGUAGCAAUGAAGAUGGCGAUGUGUCCUCGCAGUGCUCUGAGUACAGUUUCCUCAUUCAAAGCACAUGCUAA